ensembl:lncRNA
CCCCUUUUGCUUGGCACUUCUCCUUCCUGCAUCAUGUGAAGAAGGAUGUAUUUGCUUCCCCUUCUACCAUGACUGUAAGUUUCCUGAGGGCUCCCCAACCAUAAAGAACGACAGAGGCAUUUUAAUCACGAUGAUGCUUAAAUCAUGUUAUCUGCCAUAUCAUGUGAUUCGGAAGAAUUCUAAACGCCCUGUGCAAGUCUGAAAUCCAGCCCUGCUGACUAGUGUCCUUAUAAGAAGAGAAAACUGAACACACAGACAGCCUGGAGUGCACACACACAGAAGAAAGACCAUAUGAGGACACAGUGAAGAUGGCCAUCUGCCAGCAAAUGAAAGAGGUCUCAGAAGAAACAACACUGCCAACAAUUUGAUCUUGGACUUCCAGCCUCUGAAACUGUGGCCAUUCCUGCCCAGAAAACAGACAGUUUUCAAGAGAAAAAAGGGAGAAAAAGACUACAGAAAAUUACGUUACUGGGGUUUUGAGAAACUGACCCAGUGGAAUAAAAAUGAGAAGAAAAUGUUGAAGCAAGUUAGGUUCCAAUAGGAGGCACUGACAGAUCUGAGACUGGAGGAGAGAUGAAGCUCAAGGUACUUCUGCUCUACUUCCUCCCUCUCUCACGGCAUUAUCAUUGGUGGUGGUUUGUCUCUCUACAGUUACCACUCCUGUUGCGUGCUCCCUCCCCUUUGGGCUAGUGCUCAAUGAUCUCUAGUAAUAAAACUUUCUCCCCUUCUCCCUUCACUCUGAGGGGUAGGAGCAAAUAACUUUCACUUCCAUCUUUAUGUUCCUCAGCAUCUCCUAUUAGUCCUAACUGCAACCACACUGCAAAGUGAUUCUUUUAUUAUAAUCUCUAUAUUUGAACUUUUUGAGCUGAAGUUUUCUGCUGGGAUUAUGACUGACCCUUCACAGUACAGCCAAAAUCUAUUUGUAGUUUUCAGUUGAUCACUCUGGCUGUUGUGACGAAAAUGGAUUGGAUCAGAGAGAGUGAGAGUGAUGCCAGGAGAUGGAGAAAACUGGACCAUCUAUUUGGGAAGGAAAAGGCAAGAUUUGGUUGUUGAUGAGAUACAGAGGUGAAUAAAAGGGAAGAUUCAACAAUAGCUCUGCUCAGUAAUCAAAAGAAACAAAGACUGGUUUAAAGGAAUCAGACAAUGAACAUGUACCAAAAUUGCUUACAAUACUGAUAAGGAUGACUGGAAACAUCUUAGGCCUUUCUUCUAGUCCAUAUCUGCAAACUUUUUAUAUCUUGAAUCCUGCAAGUUUUAAAACUAGGCCCCCAAAAAACUUAAAAAUAACAAUUUAGCAUCAGGCAAUAUUUGCAGAAUAGCUUUAUACAAGGCACUCUAGAAGAUAAUAAAAGGAGUCAUCAAAGAAGAAUGGUUGAGAACCUGGGUUCUGAAAGCAGACUACCUUGGUUUAAUUAAUAGCCACAGCUUUACAGAAAAGAAGAGAAGGAAGGAAGGGAGAAAAGAGUAAGCAACAGGGAGGGUGAUGGGAUAAUCUUGCUUAUCCUUUUCUUCCUUCCUAAACAUACAAUGUCCCCUCUUCCUUUUCUGGAAACCUAUCUCUCUGGCACAUAUUUAUAUGUAAAGUUGUAGUUCAAAUGAUAAAUGAUCUGGAGCGAUUUUUAGGAAAUAGCGUAAUAAGAAACAGUGUUUUGAAUUUUGAGGGCUGUGAAGUGUUCUGAAGUGAUUUUGGAAUAGCUAAAAUAAGCUAACUUACUGAGCUCUUUUUGUAUUGGGCACU